rnacentral:rRNA from 1 species
UAGGGAAUCUUCGGCAAUGGGGGCAACCCUGACCGAGCAACGCCGCGUGAGUGAAGAAGGUUUUCGGAUCGUAAAGCUCUGUUGUAAGAGAAGAACGUGUGUGAGAGUGGAAAGUUCACACAGUGACGGUAACUUACCAGAAAGGGACGGCUACCUACGUGCCAGCAGCCGCGGUAAUACGUAGGUCCCGAGCGUUGUCCGGAUUUAUUGGGCGUAAAGCGAGCGCAGGCGGUUUAAUAAGUCUGAAGUUAAAGGCAGUGGCUUAACCAUUGUUCGCUUUGGAAACUGUUAAACUUGAGUGCAGAAGGGGAGAGUGGAAUUCCAUGUGUAGCGGUGAAAUGCGUAGAUAUAUGGAGGAACACCGGUGGCGAAAGCGGCUCUCUGGUCUGUAACUGACGCUGAGGCUCGAAAGCGUGGGGAGCAAACAGG